rnacentral:rRNA from 1 species
AUUGAACGCUGGCGGAAUGCUUUACACAUGCAAGUCGAGCGGCAGCGCGGGGGCAACCCUGGCGGCGAGCGGCGAACGGGUGAGUAACAUAUCGGAACGUACCCCGUCGUGGGGGAUAACACAGCGAAAGCUGUGCUAAUACCGCAUACGACCUGAGGGUGAAAGCGGGGGACCGUAAGGCCUCGCGCGAUGGGAGCGGCCGAUAUCGGAUUAGCUUGUUGGUGAGGUAAAGGCUCACCAAGGCGACGAUCCGUAGCUGGUCUGAGAGGACGACCAGCCACACUGGAACUGAGACACGGUCCAGACUCCUACGGGAGGCAGCAGUGGGGAAUUUUGGACAAUGGGGGCAACCCUGAUCCAGCCAUUCCGCGUGAGUGAAGAAGGCCU